GACGUAGGAGGCGAGCGUUAUCCGGAUUCACUGGGCGUAAAGCGCAUGUAGGCGGUUGCACAAGUCCGGUGUUAAAGCCCCUGGCUCAACUGGGGGAGGUCAAUGGAGACUGUGCGACUUGAGGGCAAUAGAGGCACGUGGAACUCCCGGUGUAGCGGUGGAAUGCGUAGAGAUCGGGAAGAACACCAGUGGCGAAGGCGACGUGCUGGGUUGCACCUGACGCUGAGAUGCGAAAGUGUGGGGAGCAAACAGG
rnacentral:rRNA from 1 species